rnacentral:lncRNA from 1 species
AGAGGCCAAGGCUCCCGGAAGUGCCCAUCCAGCCCCUACAGACCUAACGGCGCCACUGUCCCGAGGCGCCAGCAGCCCUCCCCUCCGUCUUCCUUGCCAAGAGAUGCCCGAUUUUGUUCAGGAAACUGUGGCCCUGUGCCUCAGGGCAAGUGGAGCUUCCUCCACCCGACAAGGACUCUGGGUGAAGUUGAUCAUGGGUCUACAUGGCAGUGGUUGAUUCAGAAGGGUGUCUGCAGAAUGCUGACCAGUAAAAUACGAGUUAAGUCUGCUCUGGGGACUUAAUGUGUGACCAAACAUGGGGCAUGUCACCUUCCCUUCUGCGGCCUUUGGCCAUUGUUGUGAGGGGGUGCAGGCUGGAGCUGUGGCAGGCAUGUCCCCGACCAGGAAGGGCCAGCCCAGAAUGGGGGGACAAAGUGAUAGAUGACCCAGGCCCUGGGGCCACCUCAUCUCGAGGGUUUCUGUAGAAAUCUCCACAUGGAGAGCAGUUGUGUCUGAUCUCCUCUCACUUGCAGCUGAGUCUAGUUGAGAAGCCAAUUAGUAAAUCUGCUCUUCAGCACAGGUCAGAGGGAGCUCGGGGCUGGGCUCCCAAAUCAGCCUGGGUUAGGGAAGGGAAGCCAGAGGUGGUGCUGAGAAUGCUGUGGCAGGCAAGGAGUAGGCAGAAGUGGCGUGGCGUUCUUCAGGCUGAAGCAGAGGACCCAGCCAGUGAUGCCUGCAUGCAAAAUGGACGGAAUACCCACAAGAUAAUGCUAGAGACUUCUGCAGCUGGAAUAGCUUGUGUGCUCAACAGCUCCAGCUUUGUAAGCGCCUGAGGCCUCCAUCAGCUGCUUGGGAUGAGCUUCUAGAUGGCCACGAGAUUUCUCAUCCAUUCAACAGAGAUUUAAUGAGUCCGCACCUUGUGUGCUGGGCUUCAGGGAUACGGGUGAAUGAAGAUGCCAGCCCUUUCCCUCAAGUAGCUCACUGCCUAGUGGUGGGAUGUCAGCACAUGGAAAAGCCCUUCCUAGAGGUUCUCUGCCAUGCUGAGCACAGUCAGGUGUGUAAUCACAAUAGCUGCAAUUUAUUAGGAAUCAACGUCUCUGGUACUAAGUGAAACAACUUUGCAUAAAUUAUGUCUAAUCUCCGCUACAAUCCUUCCAUUUUCCUGGGGAUAGGUCGUGUUUCUCAAAGACGGUCACUUCAAUGUAUGUGUCCCAUCCCACCUGCUCUUGCUCAGUGUGACCACUAUCUUCUAAUAAAGGAUAGCCAGCGGUGCUGAAUAUUUGCAAAGUCAGGUAGCCAGAGCAUGUGCACAAGAAGAAAUCUUGACCUGAAAUGACCAAGGAACCGAAGAUUCUCCUCCCUAAGGAACCAAAGGACAGAGAGGUGAGCAGAACUUAAAAGCUGG